UUGUAAGUGUCUAAGGGCGCAUGGUGGAUGCCUUGGCAUCGAGAGCCGAUGAAGGACGUGGGAGGCUGCGAUAUGCCUCGGGGAGCUGUCAACCGAGCGAGUGGAUCCGAGGAUUUCCGAAUGGGGAAACCCAGCACGAGUGAUGUCGUGCUACCCGCAUCUGAAUAUAUAGGGUGCGGGAGGGAACGCGGGGAAGUGAAACAUCUCAGUACCCGUAGGAGGAGAAAACAAUUGUGAUUCCGCAAGUAGUGGCGAGCGAACGCGGAACAGGCUAAACCGCACGCAUGGGUAACCGGGUAGGGGUUGUGUGUGCGGG
rnacentral:rRNA from 1 species